GCCUAAUACAUGCAAGUCGAGCGAAUCUGAUGGGAGCUUGCUCCCUGAUGAUUAGCGGCGGACGGGUGAGUAACACGUGGGUAACCUGCCUGUAAGACUGGGAUAACUCCGGGAAACCGGGGCUAAUACCGGAUAACUUUUUUCUUCGCAUGAGGGAGAAUUGAAAGAUGGCUUCGGCUAUCACUUACAGAUGGACCCGCGGCGCAUUAGCUAGUUGGUGAGGUAACGGCUCACCAAGGCGACGAUGCGUAGCCGACUUGAGAGGGUGAUCGGCCACACUGGGACUGAGACACGGCCCAGACUCCUACGGGAGGCAGCAGUAGGGAAUCUUCCGCAAUGGACGAAAGUCUGACGGAGCAACGCCGCGUGAGUGAUGAAGGUUUUCGGAUCGUAAAACUCUGUUGUUAGGGAAGAACAAGUAUCGUUCGAAUAGGGCGGUACCUUGACGGUACCUAACCAGAAAGCCACGGCUAACUACGUGCCAGCAGCCGCGGUAAUACGUAGGUGGCAAGCGUUGUCCGGAAUUAUUGGGCGUAAAGCGCGCGCAGGCGGUUUCUUAAGUCUGAUGUGAAAUCUUGCGGCUCAACCGCAAGCGGCCAUUGGAAACUGGGAGACUUGAGUGCAGAAGAGGAGAGUGGAAUUCCACGUGUAGCGGUGAAAUGCGUAGAGAUGUGGAGGAACACCAGUGGCGAAGGCGACUCUCUGGUCUGUAACUGACGCUGAGGCGCGAAAGCGUGGGGAGCGAACAGGAUUAGAUAC
rnacentral:rRNA from 2 species